UUCUAUUGAUUAAAGUGGACACAUUCGAGCUGGUCAAGCUAUCAGUAUUCCAUGGUGAGGCACCUUAUGAUUGCAGGAACCCAUGUUGGAUGCACUGGACUUCAGGAGGAUUAUUCUUUGAGCGCCAGCGUAGGAUGGCAUCUUGGUCAUAGGAGCCAGGAGACCCAUAAUAGAAGUUCAAGGUGAUUUUGGCCUCCAUUGUGAUCAAGGUUCUCCUUCUCAGGUUGCUAUGGGACAGAGACCCAGGUGGCUUGCAGGAUCUUGGUUCACAAGCCAGGUGUCAGACUGAAGCUUCUGUGGUGGGAGCUCUGAGUCCAAACCACUGGAC